UCCUAUGCUCUUUUGGGGACCUCCUUCUAAAUUUGUUGGUGGUAGUUGGGAACCUAAGAAGGAGAAAAGUGAAAUACUUGUAAUUGAUGAUGGGCGUACAGCUAAUCGGUUACUUAAUUGGAUCAAUAAGCAAUUGGGCAGAUGUGAUGGGAGAGAAGUCUUGGUUCUCUUGAAAUGUUAUGCUUACUCGUGUCACUGAGAAAGAAACAUUAAAAUCAAUUAUUGGAUGGAUGUAUAGGCACAAGUAUUGGAUUGGACCAUCAACAACAAAAAAGGUAGCUGUAAUUUUAGAUACUAUGAAUAAUUGUUGCAUGUAAUUGAAUUUAGUUAGCGCUUAUUUGUGUUUUUACAAGAGUGAGAAAGAGGUAUUUGUAUGGGAGUGGAUUGUUAAUAAAGACAACUAUUGCUGAGAAACUCUCAUUGAUUUUUUUUUUUAUAAUUUGUUUAUGGAAGUUUUGAUUGAUAAACAAGGGCAUUUGUCUUCCUUAAUGUUGUAAUUGGUUCAUUACUUGCGAAAAUUCACUUGAGUUUGAUUUUGUUUC